UACAGAGGUCCCGAGCGUUGUUCGGAUUCAUUGGGCGUAAAGGGUGCGUAGGUGGCGCCGUAAGUGGGGUGUGAAAUCCCGGGGCUUAACCCCGGGACUGCAUUCCAUACUGCGGUGCUUGAGGACUGGAGAGGAGACUGGAAUUUACGGUGUAGCAGUGAAUGCGUAGAGAAUCGUAAGGAAGACCAGUGGCGAAGGACGGGUCUCUGGACAGUUCCUG
rnacentral:rRNA from 1 species